CUCUGUCUCUCUCCCGCCUUCGCUCCCAAUCCACCGCACUCUCCGGCGCGCCGCCGCUGCCCCCGCCUCCGCCGCCGCCACCGCCGACUCUCGGAGCACCGCCGGCGGCCGGAUAAUGGCAACACCGGGUUUCGCACCAGAACUUGCACUGGCGAUUCUAAACUUCACGCCAAAUCUUUGGGCAAUUACCUCCUUUGCCGUUCAGAUCUGGAUAUGGAGUUUUGUUAUAGGGAGUUGGUGGGUGAAGUUUUUGGUGCUUAGCUAAUUCGGCAAGGCUGUGCGAAUGCCUUGCCGACCGGUGGUAAAAACCCCACAUUUCAAGAGAAGUUUAUGCUCACGCUCGUGAAGGGCUCGGAGAGUUCAAUCUUGCGGAAUGUGGAGCAGCAAUGUCCUCACUUCAUCGGCAGUGGAAAGUAGUUACUUCCUACCUUAUAUCCAUUUGGCUAACAACACUGUUUUUGAUGAGUUGUUUUGGACUUUGGUCCUUUGACUGGCUAGUGUUUUUAUCUUAGUUGUGUUUUCCAUGGCCUCCAUGAGGUUCUUCCUCAGAGCUUCGAUUAUUCGGCCUGGUCUCUUCAGACUAAAAACAGGGCAGAUGGCUUAUCUACAAAAGAGAGUUUGAAACGAUCCAUGUGGGAUUCAUGAGAGAUGGAACAAAAUGUUGGUAGAGGACACGGACAUUGAAUUUGCUGUGGAGGAGCACGUUGCCAACAUGUGAGGAGAACUUUGGUGCAGAAAGUCCUGCUAUCUCACCUUAACUGAGGCCCGAUAACUAUGAUCCCCACAUUGAUCAUUUCCUGUUUUGAGCCCAAGCUGCGUAUUGCAGACAGCUUUCAGUAGUCGCUUUGGACAAAGUUAGAGAGGUGCUUAAGCUUGACCAGGAAAUGAUAGAUCUUGCUAAGCUACUGAUCGCAGAGCAGUCACUUAUCAUGUUUGGCAGGGGAUAGAAUUAUGCUACAGCUAUGUAAGGUUCUUUAAAAGUAAAUGAAGUGGCAUUGAUGCACAGUAAAGGAAUACUUGCCGGUGAAAUGAAACAUGGUCCUCUGGCUCAAGUGGUUGAGAGUCUUCCCAUUGUAGUGUUUGCUACUCAUGAUGCUUGCUUCAGGUUAGCUUUUGUCGUACAGGUUUGAUCAUGUCCAUGAAAUCUCUAUUUGUUCUAAAGCUGAAGGUGUCAGUGUUAACUGCAAUCAACGAUCAGUUAUUCAGCAACUCCAUGCCCACAAAGGAUGCCUAAUUGUGUCGUACUCAUGGUACCUUAAUAUUGUUUCAUGAUUGAAAUAACGAUGAUGACUUCAACUUAGUUUCAUCUGGGAUGCUAUGCAACUUAGAGCAUUAUGUUGUUCAUUCA